GACAGAGGUGCCGAGCGUUAGGCGGAAUCACUGGGCUUAAAGCGUGUGUAGGCGGAUCGUUAAGUGCCUUGUGAAAUCCCACGGCUCACCCGUGGAACUGCUGGGCAUACUGGCGGUCUUGAGCCACCUAGGGGCAACCGGAACAAACGGUGGAGCGGUGAAAUGCGUAGAUAUCGGAAGGAACACCUGUGGCAAAAGCGGCUCACUGGACCACAACUGACGCUGAGGCACGAAAGCUAGGGGAGCAAACAGG
rnacentral:rRNA from 1 species